AAUGAAGAAAUAGUUUGCAGCUGGCUUGGAGUCCUAGGUGGUUACUCUUGGGUAGGUUAUUCCUAAGUAGACAUUCCUAGCAUAGUUUGAGUGGGUUUUACGUUGCUUUGCAUUUGCCUAUGCUUUUGUGUCUUCAUUUGGGCUUUUGAUAGUUCCAGUAACUCUGAUGCUUCUAGAUUCUUUUCUGAAAGAUGAUUUGUGGUUGUGCUUGUAAUUCAGUCAAACAAUACCCAGAACAACAUAAAUUGCAUGUGAAGUAUUGAUAUCCUUGUGUCUGUGAAGGCUGGUGUCUGAAUCAAAGAAAACAUUAUCAGACCUGCAGUUUAAGUUUCAUAGCCUCAGAAGAAUGACUCUGUCAUGUAUCCACUUCCUAUGCAGGCUGGGAGCAAAGGUUGAAUGAGCUACCUGUCUUGAUGCUUAUCUCUGCUGUGUGCUCACAUGUGCCAACUGUUGCUGCUUGCCCUGUUGAUACAAAGCCUGUGAUCUCAGCCCUUACCCUGGUGUCUAGAGGAAGAUCAUUUCUUCAGUAUGUUUCACUAAGUAUUUGAUACUCUUUCAUCAUUGAUUCUGUGAAUGCGAAUUUCAGUGAGACUUCCUGGGUACAUCAAGACUACAAAGAAACUGAGAAAUUGCACGUGCCUGCUAUCAAGGUUCAGGAUAAAUGAGAAGGCAAGAUGCAGCUUAUAAAAAAAUGUUAAAAUUCAACAGACCAGCUAGAUAGUAUUUAUCAUUUGUAAUCUUGUGCUGCGUACUUGGAAUGUGCUUUAAACAAAUGGGAAGUGUGAAUACUGUCUGUUCUAUUCAGAAAUGUGGGUGUUGCAGGGUUUAUACUAUCUGCCUCCACUAUAAACAUAUCAGGAUACCAUGUGGUGUCAGGUGUAAAACCCGGACUAAAAGAUGUAUGAAGUACAUAGGUCAGAACUGAGCUUACCAACCCUUGAGAAAAGUUAAGUAGUGAGGGUAAGUCACCUGCUGUGUCCAGAGAGAAGAAAUUGAGAAAGCUGGAAGAACUGCCUGUGGGCAACUGUGAUUUUAACAUCAAAUAAGAGAAUCAUAUUUUCUAUGAAGGGCAUUCAUAGCUAGUUCAUUUAAACCUUGAAGUAAGGAAACUUGUGAAGUAUUGCGCCUGUCAGGCUGGAAAAAAGGAUUUGGUAUAUUGCUUAUAUUAACCUUGAAGCUGUUCUCAGUUUAGUUUGAUUUUAAAAACAAAUUAAGAUUAUAGAAUGGCUUCAGUUGGAAGGGACCACUUUCUGAGUCAUAUGUUUGACCUUUCUGGGUCAUAUGAAGCACUUUAUCCUUUUUGUGUACUUGUUAAUUUUGUUGAAGUAUCACUUAGUUCUGUAUUCAAAUGAAAAACAGCCCAACAUGACAUCGAAUAACAGUGACCUCACUGCUUAACCUCAGGGUGUUGAUUUCUACAUUUACUCCAUGUUUCACUGUUAACUUAAUUACUUACAUUUGAAGCAGACAGUGAUGAAAUGAUCUGACCUUUAUAUAUUAUUACUUGGCUAGUUUUUCCUUAUUUGCUGGAAAAAAUCAGUUGCUGAACAUUCUUAUUAAUAUUCAUUUCAAAUCCUUUGCAUGUCCUUCAUGCUAUAACUAGAAAGUAAUUCUCCCUUCUUCUGCACUGCAGGACACAAGUUUUCAUAAAGAAUUGUUGAGUUUUAUGUCACUUUUAAAAAUCAAUGUAAUCUCUAUGAAUACUGUCUGAUGGAUGUAUUUAUAUUGAGGAUUUGCAUUUAUUAUCAUUGCAAUUAAUCUGAUUGCUUCUGUUGCCUUCCUGACUGAGCAGAAGAAGUUGAUUUUUCCGUUCUCCAUGUACCAAACUUGAGAUUCAAAUAAAGGAGAUUUUGCUGCUGUGAAGGAA